rnacentral:sRNA from 1 species
UUUUAUAAUAGAAAUUGGUACCGGGAACAAAUAUAAUAUACUUAUUUAUAAAUAGGAAAAUUAUUCAAAUAUAUAUCCGCUUUGAUUUUAAAACUUAAAAAUUGGAUAUAAUUAUAUUAAUAAUAUAUAUUUUAUCUCUCCACUAAAAGUAAAUACCGUUGGUAAACUUUUAUAUAAUAAAACAGGGGGCGUUUAAUUUGAUAUUAUUUCGUAUAAUAAUAAUUGCAAACCGUUAGCACGUUUAAAUACCGGCAAAAGUUUGUUUUACUUAAAAAUAUAAAAAUGCAAUACUUUAAUUUAAAUUAUUUUAUAAUAUUAAAUUAUUCUCUAUAAUUAGUAAAUGUAAUACCAUUUUUAAUUUAAUUACACCAAGGGUUAAAAACAGUUUAGUAGUCCCGUGGGAAAUAUAAAUAAAUGGUAUAAACUCAGCCCGCAUUUCUAUUAUUAAGAAAUUAAAAUUACAAUAUUAAUAUUUAAUUCUGUCCUGUAAUAAACUAUUAUUUACGGUUCUAGUAAUUAUUAACAAUAUUUUAAAACUUUUAAAUUUUAAUUACAGCCGCCAUUUUAUUAAAUUUUGCUAAAACUAAUAUUAGUAAAUUAACUUAUAAUUACAAAAUUGACUCGCAAAUAUAGUUUUAUUAACUUUGAUAAUUUCCAUAUUUAUACUUAUAGUUGAUAUAAAUUGAGGGUAGGUCCCUUAAAAUAAGUUGAGAUUAGUUUAAAUUAAAUAAUUUACUGGUAUAGGUAAUAUUAUUUAUAUAAUAUUAUUUGGUUUUUAUAUCUUCAACUAAUUAAUAAAUUAUACCACGGUUAUAAACUUUUAGUUGGAAAUUAAUAGUUGAUAAAAGAAAGUGGAAUUUAAAUUUAAAUUAUUAUAUAAAUUUUAUAUAAGUAUUUUCAAAUUACUAUAAUUAUAAACCAAAUUAUUAUACUUUUAACAAAUACAAAAUAUUUGACAAAUUAAUUUCCUAAACCGAAAUAAUAGGUCACUCACCAAUUUAUUUAUAUUUUGCAAUAUUAAUUUACGCGUUUAUAAUACCGGCCGUUUUUAAAAACCAUAUUUGGAAAAAGGCUUUUAAUUUUGAAUUUAAAUACAAAAUUUACAAUACCAAAAAGUUUAUUUUAAUAAUUAAUACUUAUUUACCUCCCGUAAUUGAAAUGUUUUCCAGCUAUAAAUAGCUUAUUAUAAAGCUUUUUAAAUAUAUAACGGUAUUAGUAUCUAAUCCAAUAUUUAAAAUAAUAAACGUUCUGGGGGUUAUUUAAAAUAUAAAAUAGGGUAUAAAACUGGCAAUUUAAAACCCGAAAUCGGAAAUUCUUUGAAUAUAUUUUCACGUAUGUCCUUUUAAAUACUUCAAAAACCAAAUUUAUAAUAAAACGCGAAAUUAAUAAUUAUAAAUAGGUUUUUGAAAAACAAUAAUAAUGUUAAAUAAACUGCAGGUAUAAUAUUCAAAUUCGAUCAAAUUAUUGUUGCAAAAGUAUUUCGUUAUCUAUAUUAAAUUAAAAUACCCGCAAAACGUAAGUUUGCUAUUACCCUACGAAUAAUUAAACAAAAGAAUUAAUAAUUAUAAACUUAUAUAAUUUUAAAGUAAAUUUGCUUUUAGAAGGUUUUUAUAAAUCGAAAACGAAAAUUAUAUUAUAACGUUUAACAAAAAUAUAUAAUUUAUAUAAUAUAUACUACUAAUUAUAAUUGAUAUAUGUGGGAAAUAAAAUAUAUGAUUGCAUAGGUGCGUUUUCGAACAAUAAUUCUACUAAGAUAGAUUUUUAUUUGCACAUUUGAAAAGUUUUAUCAAAUUGAUUAUAUUUAAAGCCCCAAAAUAUUUGGAACUUUGGUAAUAAUAAAUUAUAAUAUAAAAUAGUGCAAAUAUUCCAAUUGUAAAAACGCUAUAUAGUUUAAAUAAAAGUUAAGAAAAUUGUAAAACAAAUUAAAAACCCUAUCUUUUACGAAAAAUUUGAAACUGCUAAUUCUUAAUAAUAUUAUUUUUUUAAUAUUAAAUUUAAAUAUUUUAUUACUAUUUUAAUAUAUAAUUACUUAAUAAUAAGGUUUGGUUUGCGAUAAAGUUUUAAUGUUAAAAUUUCGCUUACUAAUAUAUGCUUUUUUUUAUAAUAGGGGCCUGCAAUUUACUGUUUAAAUAUUUAAAUUACAAAUAACAAAUUCAAAUAUAUCUUCUAACUUUAUUAAAUUUAAAAUACAAUAAAAGUAUUAUUAAUAUUUAAACUGAUUAAUUUUAUAUUUAUAUUUUAUUUUAUAUACGCUGGUAUAUUAAAUAUAACGGGGUAUUAUAAACGUGUAAUAACUUGUUAUAAUUGGGACCGACGAGUUAUUUGUUUAAUGCAAAUACUUCAAAAUCUUUUGUUUUAUUAAUUUAUUUAUUAUAUUAUCCGGUAAAUUUUAAUACGGGGAGAAACCCGUAGAUUUAUAACAAACCAAACCCUUGUAAAGAAUUAUUAGCAUUUAAAUAUAUUUUUAAUAUUUUUAACAAAGUUAUAUAUCGGAUCCGCGGUUUGAAAAUAUUUUGUUAUUUAACAAAAGCUAUUAAAAUUAAUUUCAACGUAAUUAAACAGCUUUUAUAUUAUUUAACAAAUACCAAGUUCUUAAUAAUAUAUUACGGAAAUAAUACUUUUAAACCCAAAUUACUAUUUAAUUUCUUAAUUGGGGGUUUUUAAAUUUUAUACUUUUUUCGGGUUUAAAAAUAGUAACUUUGCCGGUGCUGGAAAGUAUUUCAAAUAAAUUAACAAAUAUUUAUAUAUUUUAUUUAAAGGAUUUAUAGCCCGGAAUUUCAAACAAACCCUGUAUAACUUUAUAUACUUUAAAUACCAAAACUAAUGUUUUAAUAAAAACCCUGCGCAUAAUAUAAUAAUUGAAACCCUAUUUAUAAAAGUGGUAUUUUUUCUAAACGUUUCUAUUAUAAUCUCUGGAAAUAAUAUAAGCUUAAUUAUUUACAUAUAUAAUCUUAUAUACUAACGAUAUAUUAAACAUACGCUAAUAAAAUCUUAUUAUAUAUAGGGACUAAUUAUAAACUUGUUGUUUUUCAAAAUUUGAAAGUUAAAAGAAUACCUGCUUCCGGUCUUAUAAAAUUACUAACUUUAUUAAUUUACAAAACUUUUUUAAUAUUAGUGAAAUUAAAACCGCUUAUAUUUAAUAUUAUAUUAUUAGAUUUUAAAUAACUAAUUGGUUUAUUAAUUAUUUAGUUUUCUCUUCUAUUUUAAAAUGCUAAUUAGAUUUCUUUAGCCCAAAGCGAGCCGAUCCAUUCAAAUUCACCCUUUAAAAUUUAAUAAUUAAACCGUUUUUGUUAAUCUUAUAUUUAAAACUAAAUUUAAAUUUGAAUAAUUUGCGUUUUGAACAAUUUAUCAAUUUUAUUAUA